CACGUAGGGGACGAGCGUUGUCCGGAUUCAUUGGGCGUAAAGCGCGCGUAGGCGGCUCGGAAAGUCGGUCGUGAAAUGCCGGGGCUCAACCCCGGGACUGCGUCCGAUACUUCCGGGCUGGAGGUAGGUAGGGGAGAUCGGAAUUCCAGGUGUAGCGGUGAAAUGCGUAGAUAUCUGGAGGAACACCGGUGGCGAAGGCGGCAAGUCCGUGGACCAAUAGUUGACGCUGAGGAGCGGAAAGCCAGGGGAAGCAAACGGGG
rnacentral:rRNA from 1 species